rnacentral:rRNA from 1 species
UGCUGCAUGGCUGCCGUCAGCUCGUGUCGUGAGAUGUUGGGUUAAGUCCCGUAACGAGCGCAACCCUUGUCCUUAGUUACCAGCACGUUAAGGUGGGCACGUCUAAGGAGACUGCCGGUGACAAACCGGAGGAAGGUGGGGAUGACGUCAAGUCAUCAUGGCCCUUACGGCCUGGGCUACGACACGUGCUACAAUGGUCGGUACAAAGGGUUGCCAAGCCGCGAGGUGGAGGCUAAUCCCAUAAAACCGAUCGUAGUCCGGAUCGCAGUCUGCAACUCGACUGCGUGAAGUCGGAAUCGCUAGUAAUCGUGAAUCAGAAUGUCACGGUGAAUACGUUCCCGGGCCUU